UCCCAGCAGUCCAAGUCGCAGCCACAUUUGUUGGGUCUAAAACAUCCGUAGCUUGUCUUACAAGUCUUUUGUGAAAUCGGGACUCUUAAGGUUCCGGCGGGCAAAAGAUACUGUUUGACUAGAGACCGGUAGACGCAUUGAGUACAGAUAGGGUAGUGGUAAAAUACGUUGAUCCUUUCUGGACUAACAACAGCGGAGGCACGAUGCGAGCACGGUUCUGACAGUGAGGGAUGAAGGCUCGGGGCGCAAAGUGG
rnacentral:rRNA from 1 species